AGGCCGGCUGGCCGCAGGGGAACCUUUCCUCUCCGGGUUCAGGGUCCGGGAGCAAACCCCGAGCUGCGGCAAAAAGGGCUGGUAGGCUCUCCUGCACCCCCGCUUGCUCCCCCGCCUUCCCUGUGUCCCCCGGCUUUUCCAGGAGGAAGAUGGGGUACCCAGCGGGGGUGGGGCGCGCCGGGCCGCGGAGCCGGGCUGUCACGUGCCCCCCUCUCCCCACACCCCCCGCCACUGCGGCGGGAGUUCCAAUCAGAGCGCGCCAGGGGGCUCCUCCCGGGCAGGAACCACCCGGCUCGGCGGCGGAGGGUGGGCCGCCGUCACCUGACCGCCCGCCCCCGCCCCCCGCGAGUAAGGGGCGGUGGUAGCGUCUGCUCGGUUACAAAUGGCCCCUCCCGCCCCGCUCGCCCGCUCGCUCGGGCUCGGCGCGGACCCGCCCGGGAGCGCUCCUCCCGCCGGCUGCCGGCGUCCCGCCGCCCUGCCCGGAGCCGGCCGGCGGUCCCCGCCAACCCCCGAGGGCGCUCCUGGCACCCAGCACGGAGGCUUGCCCGCGGAGGUCGCGCCGGGAGACUGGACCGCGGUAGCGCGCGGCUUGCCUUCCCGCAGGUGAACUUUGAUAUGGUGGACGGUGACUCUUCUCCUGCAUGCGAGUGGUGGUUCAAACCAGCGAAGAGACUUCAGACCUGUGGUGACAGAGGCCUUAAAACCUCACAGGGAGACAUCCUUGGAGCUCCAUGGCCAGGAAGUGCGGGAGGAAACAGGACUUUCAAAGCAGAAAAAGCCCACCAUGUUCCUGCCCAAGCGAGGCUACGCCAGCCGAGGGUACCCUGUGCAGAGGGCCAGUGGGGCCCCAUACAGCCAGCACCUGCCACGUGAGUGAGAUUUCAUUUUCAUCUGAAGAUGCUCUCUAUCAGACUCUCAUCACCACACCAGGGUUCAUAUAAAUGUCCAUUUUUCACAGAGCCGUAGAUUUAGAGCAGCAGUCCCCAAAUCUGGAUUAUCAGAAUCCCUGGGGGUAGGGGUGGAUUCCUGGGCUUCACUUUCAAACCAACUGCAGCAGAAGCUGGGAGUGGGGAGGGAGGGAGCCCUGAAUCCCACCUCCCCAUCCUGAGCCAGUCAGCCAGGUUGGGGGGAUGUCAGCUGCUGGAGAAAAUCUGCAUUGACCCAUGGACACCCUGGGAGCUGGUUGAUGAGGAAACACACCCUAUUUCUAUUGCCAUCAUCUUUUUCCAGAAGGAACAGGCAGGAAAAUGGUUUGUUGAUUUGAGACCUCUGAUGUUAUAAAGCUUAGAUAAAUGUCACGUCCUUCCAAUUGCCUUCGCCAAGUGAUCAUUACGUGACGUUAAACAUACACACACACACUCACACACACCAGAAUUAGCUAGCUUGACCUUGCCAAGCAAAUAGUGAAGAGGAAGAAGUAAUAUAAACAAGCCAGAGUGGGAAAUAAAGAGAUAAAAAGCUUUGGUUAAAAUGGGUGCAGAAUUCUGGAACACCAGAAAUGUUAACAUGCUCAUCAAUGCCCCUGGCAUGGCUGAGGCACUUCAGAGGCAACAGCAGGUAACCGGGCCCUGAGCAGAGAGGGAGGGGCAGCUGUGAUGCGCCAGCCCCCUGUUCUGGGGCACGUGGUGGCUGGGGUCCAGCCCAGGCCACCCAGCAGGUAGCCACCCAUAUACUCUGUUCUGCAUCUGCAUCUGCCCAGGGAAAGGGGGACUUUCUUGAGCUCACAAAAGGCUCCGUCCCCAGGAAAGGCCCGAUUGUUUCCCUUGCAGAAGGCGCUGCGUGCUCUAGCUGAGUGUGUCAAGAUCUGAAGGAAAGACGCUGCGUAGAUGAGCAGACAAGAGGGAGGUGGGCGGGGCAGGGCCACCGGGACCUGUGUGCUUCUGCUGGACUUGUAUUUUACUCUGGAUGGACAGGGGGAGGGAAGGAGGGGACAAACAAGAGAAUGACAGGCUCUGAGUCAUCUUUUAGAAGCGUCACUCAGGCUGCAGUAGAGUGAACCACCGAGGGACGAGUUCGAUGCGUGGAGCAUUGUCCAGGUGGGAGGUGGGGCGCCGGCAGGGGUAGAGGGCUGGACUGGCCAUGUAGGGUGGCUGUGGAGAUGAGAAAAUGCCCUUCAGUGGCAAGAUGUUGGCCAUCCUGAUGGCUCAGAGCAGACACUAAGGACAAAGCUGUGUCUCUGCCUCUAAGAUUGCGGGGACUUCCUCCACAGGAAGAGCGUGGCCGAGCUGCAGGUCCUGCUGUGUGGCACUGGGCUGCGGGGGACCCCACGAUCAGGCUGAAGAGUGGCUGACCCUGGAGCCCACGAGAUGGAGGAAGGUGUUCAGAGCCACAGAGGCAGGCACACGGGGUGUACUGGGGGGACGCCAGCUCCACGAGGGAGGAGGGGCAGGUGCAGAAGUGAGGAGCCAUGGGAUCUGCAACUUGUGGGCAUGAUGGGGGCCUUGGAGAGAUUAAUCCUGAUCCAACUGGCCCUCUGGAGGAAUCCCCAUGGUGUCGCUGUGCAUCAGGGCACGAGAGCCGAGAGGCAGGGAGGUGAGUGAGGAGGUCUGACAGUCAGCUGUUCAUACAGAACAGCUGUGUGCACGUCCUGAGGACGCUGGGUGCCAGCUUUCUUUUUCCGUUUUCAAACGCUUAGAAAAGACGAGUUGGACCACGCAAGUCUUAGUUUGAAUGAUACAUUCACUCAGCCAGUAUUUAUCAAGCAUCCCCUACAUGGCGAAGGCUGGGGACCCGAGAGGGAGGCUGGAAUCGAGUGGCAACAGCUCGCCGCACACUGUGUGGUAAGAACCUUCAGGAAGAGGCCCAGAGGCUUGGAAAGCACGUGACAGCAGAGUUGGGUCUGGGCUGGGGGACGGUGUCCAGGAAGUCAUGUUGGAUUGGAAAGCCGAAAGAGAAGUUGGUGUUAAACUAUGUGAAAUAGAGAAUGAGGCAUUCCAGGAGGAGGAAGCAGCUUGUGGUGGAAAGGAGUAUGGCAUGUUUGAGAAGUCAGAACAGCAGAUAAAUGGAUGGACCUAGAGUCUGUCAUACAGAGUGAAGGAAGUCAAAGAGGGAAACAAGCAUAGCAUAUUAACGCAUAUAUAUGGAAUCCAGAAAAAUGGUAUAGAUGAACCUAUUUGCAGGGCAGGACAGAGACCCAGACGCAGAGAGCAGACAUGUGGGCACGGGAUGGGGAGGGCAGUGGGCCAAGUUGGGAGAGGAGCACUGACAUAUAUGCGCCCCCACGUGUGAAACUGAUCGCGAGGGGGCGCUGCCGUGUAACAGGGAGCACAGCUCCGUGCUCUGUGAUGAGCGGAGGUGGGGCGGGCUGAGAGAGGGAGGAGACAGAUGUGAACAUAAAGCGGAUUCACGUUGUUGUACCGCAGAAACUGACAGCAUCAUAAAGCAGUUACACAUCAAUAAAAAUUUUUAAACAGAAUUCAAAAUAUAAACGAAGUCAACAGGGUGUAGACAGAGGGGAGAUGAAAGGCCGACUCUGCUGGCAUUCUGCUUCUAACCCCUGGCUGCUCUCUGUUCCCUCCGCACUCCAGAGGCAGCACGGAGGUCAGUCGGCUGGCAUGGUGCGGUGGGGCAGCUGGUGUUGUGAAUCAGGCCGUCGCCAAUCAGAGAACGGCUACUUCACAACACCAGGGUCACACCCCACCCCAGGCAGCGCUCCCAGCUCCAG
rnacentral:lncRNA from 1 species